AGAGUUUGAUCAUGGCUCAGAACGAACGCUGGAGGCGUGCCUAACACAUGCAAGUCGAACGAACUCUUCGGAGUUAGUGGCGGACGGGUGAGUACAACAUAGAUAAUCUGCCCUUAAGUGGGGGAUACCUGGGCGAAAGUUCAGUUAAUACCGCGUAAUGUUUGCGACUGCAAGGUUGUAAAAGAAAGGAGCAAUUCGCUUUUGGAGGAGUCUAUGCUCGAUUAGUUAGUUGGUGGGGUAAUGGCUUACCAAGACGAUGAUCGAUAGCUGGUCUGAGAGGACGAUCAGCCACACUGGAACUGAGACACGGUCCAGACUUCUACGGAAGGCAGCAGUGGGGAAUUUUCCGCAAUGGGCGAAAGCCUGACGGAGCGACGCCUCGUGGGUGAAGAAGUCUUUAGGGAUGUAAAGCUCUGUCAGCAGGGAAGAAACAAAUGACGGUACCUGCAGAGGAAGCAUCGGCUAACUACGUGCCAGCAGCCGCGGUAAUACGUAGGAUGCGAGCGUUGUUCGGAAUUAUUGGGCGUAAAGAGUACGUAGGCGGUUUGUUAAGUCUAUUACCAAAGACCGAAGCUCAACUUCGGGACUGUAAUAGAUACUGUCAAACUAGAGGUCAAUAGGGGGAGCUGGAAUUCUCAGUGUAGCGGUGAAAUGCGUAGAUAUUGGGAGGAACACCGGCGGCGAAGGCGAGCUCCUGGGUUGAUACUGACGCUGAGGUACGAAAGUGUGGGUAGCGAACGGGAUUAGAUACCCCGGUAGUCCACACCGUAAACGAUGAAUACUAGGUGUAGGUGGAUUCGACCCCAUCUGUGCCGAAGCUAACGCAUUAAGUAUUCCGCCUGGGGAGUAUGGUCGCAAGGCUAAAACUCAAAGGAAUUGAUGGGGACCCGCACAAGCGGUGGAGGAUGUGGUUUAAUUCGACGCAACGCGAAAAACCUUACCAAGACUUGACAUCCAUUGAAUCUUUUAGAAAUAAGAGAGUGUCCGAAAGGAAGCAGUGAGACAGGUGGUGCAUGGCUGUCGUCAGCUCGUGUCGUGAGAUGUAGGGUUAAGUCCCGCAACGAGCGCAACCCUCGACGUUAGUUGCCAGCAUUAAGUUGGGGACUCUAGCGUGACUGCCGGUGUUAAGCCGGAGGAAGGUGGGGACGACGUCAAGUCAUCAUGCCCCUUACGUCUUGGGCUACACACGUCCUACAAUGGUAUAGACAAAGAGCAGCGAGCUUGCGAGAGUUAGCGAAUCUCAGAAACUAUGCCUCAGUUCGGAUUGCAGGCUGCAACUCGCCUGCAUGAAGUCGGAAUCGCUAGUAACCGUAGAUCAGCAUGCUACGGUGAAUACGUUCCCGGGUCCUGUACACACCGCCCGUCACACCACGAAAGUUUGUCAUACCCGAAGCCGGUGGGCUAACCUUUUAGGAGGCAGCCGUCUAAGGUAGGGCAGAUGAUUGGGGUGAAGUCGUAACAAGGUA
rnacentral:rRNA from 1 species